rnacentral:rRNA from 1 species
CAGUAGCCGCGGGAAUACGAAGGUCCCGAGCGUUGUUCGGAAUCACUGGGCGUAAAGGGAGCGUAGGCGGCAUGGUAAGUCAGAUGUGAAAUCCCGGGGCUCAACCCCGGAACUGCAUCCGAUACUGCCAUGCUAGAGGAUUGGAGAGGUAGCUGGAAUUCUUGGUGUAGCAGUGAAAUGCGUGGAGAUCAAGAGGAACACUCGUGGCGAAAGCGAGCUACUGGACGAUAACUGACGCUGAGGCUCGAAGGCCAGGGUAGCGAAAGGGAUUAGAUACCCGGGUAGUCCCUGUCUCUUAUAC